rnacentral:rRNA from 1 species
CCUACGGGUGGCAGCAGUGGGGAAUAUUGGGCAAUGGGCGCAAGUCUGACCCAGCAACGCCGCGUGAAGGAAGAAGGCUUUCGGGUUGUAAACUUCUUUUAAGAGGGAAGAGCAGAAGACGGUACCUCUUGAAUAAGCCACGGCUAACUACGUGCCAGCAGCCGAGGUAAUACGUAGGAGGCAAGCGUUGUACGGAUUUACGGGGUGUAAAGGGCGUGCAGCGGGGAAGACAAGUCAGAUGUGAAAGCCCGGGGCUCAACCGCGGAACUGCAUUUGAAACUGUUGUUCUUGAGUACCGUAGCGGUAAUCGGAAUUCAUGGUGUAGCGGUGAAAUGCGUAGAGAUAAGGAAGAACACCAGUGGCGAAGGCGGAUGACUGGACGGCAACUGACGGUGAGGCGCGAAAGCGUGGGGAGCAAACAGGAUUAGAUACCCGGGUAGUC